ensembl:snRNA LOC120102127 U4 spliceosomal RNA
CGCUUUGCUCAGUGGCAGUAUGGUAGCCAAUGAGGUUUAUCUGAGGCACUAUUACUGCUAAUUGAACAUUUGAUGCUUUUUUUUAAAUUAUCCAACUGGUAAGCCUCUUAGAAAGCAAAGUCAUGUC